CGAAAUCGACCAAGGGUCGUGUUGGUGAGCUUUGGAAAAGCCAAAGAUGUCAAAAUCACCAAAAGUGCAUUAGAAAAGAGUCCACGAGAGCGAAUAGUGCAAAACCUGCAUUGGAGCAAAGUUGCUCUCGGGGACCGGUCCUUGGCAGGGAGGGACCGGUCCCAUCGGCUGGUGGUUGCAGGGAUCCUUGAGGCAACCGGUUCUUGGUAGGGAGAGACCGGUCCCCGAACGUGACCCCAGCGAGAAAAGCCAAAAUUUGGUUAAGUCGCGAAAUCCCAUCUCUCGGGAACCGGUCUCUCAGGAAGGAACUGGUCUCCCAGGGACCGGUCUCUCAAGGAAGGACCGGUUCCCAAACGCGUAAACCGGGCUGAGGCUCUCGGGGAUCGGUCCCAAGUCGAGGAGACCGGUCCCUCCGCGCGCAGACAGCCCAGUAAGGGCAGUGCAAAGAGGCAAAAGUUGAGGGGCUAAUCUAGAUAUUGUUACAAUAGAGAGUAUAGGGGACCACCUCUCACUCUCUCACCCUCAUUUCUCCCUCACUCUCUCACACUCUCUUGCUCCCUCUCUCUCUAGAAGGAAAAGAGAAGAAGAAGAAGAGAAAGAGAAGAAGAAUAAGAAAAGAGAAGGAAAAGAAGGAAGAAAAGGAAGGAGAAGAAGAAGGAGAUCAAGCUAGAGAAAGCUUUGGACCUCUCUCUCUUCCUCUCUUCUCAUUUGGAAGCUACAACAAGAGGUAGGCUUCUAACCCUAGUUGUGAAAUUUAGGGUUUUUGGGUUUUAGCUCUUUGGAUGGGAUCAAAUGGAUCCCUAGCACCAUGAAUGGUGGGAUUGAAGCUAGAAUCUAGAAUUUUGAGAUGGGUUUAGCUUAAUGCUAACCCUAGGGCACCAAAAUAGGGUUUUUGGUAAAGUAUGAGAUUGAUCUCAUUUGAGGUCUUGUAAACCUAAUUGGUAGGUGCCUAAACGCCGGGGCGAAGUCGGAUUUUGCAUUCGUAAAGCGAGUGAAAAGCUAUUGGCAAAACAAGACCGACUAAGCUUCAUUUGGACCAAGAAGGCUAAAGCCUCGUUGUAAAGUUCGUUGGAGGGCAUUUCUAGAGCCUCCAUAUCCUCAAGAGGUGGGGGGUGUCAUCCCAAAGCAUCAGGGUUUUCUUUUAUGUCUAUGUUAUUUAUGUUGAUCAUAUUGCAUUAUAGGAUUAAUAGAUAUAUAUAUUUCCUUUUCCUUGCAUGCUUCUUAGUAGUGUAACUUAUGAGUCGAACACAUGGACUAGGGCAGCAUGAGGAUUGGGUCUUGUGACAUGAAAAUCCUAUAAUGGCAUAAAGAGCCGAACUUGGACAUAGCCUAGUAGAGUGGCAUUGAACGAGUGUAGUAGAAACACUAAACAUGAACGAGUGGCAAGUAGAAUAAUUGAGACAUUUACUACAAUGACUGAAUGAGUGGCAUCGAGUCUAGUGUAACAAACAGGUUAUGAACCUAGGGAUAGUAGUGGUCCCAACAUUGAUUAUAUAUCAUGAUUAUGCAGCAGAGGUAAAUUGACCCUUGUAGAUAGGGUAUCCUCUUGUGAGGAUUGGAUCAUACUCACUAGUCUGUUUUCGCUGUCGGUGGUCGCUCCACUAUGGCACGAGUCUCUGGAGUACUUUACUAGGGGUAGACGUAGUUGUCCCACAGACGGUCUCGGUGUGCGAAUGCAGCUUUUCCUCACCUAUGAGAUUGAAAGUGAGUCGAGGGCUUAACCUACGGGUUAGCCAAGUAGAUUGGGUAAUAAACAUGAAAUGCAUAGCAGAUUUGCAUUAUUACCUUGAGUAUACAUAGUGUAUGUUGUAGUUUGCAUUGCUAUGUACUUUUCUAUGCUCAUGACAUGAUACUAGCAUGAUAGUAGUUGUUGCAUGCAUUAUUAUCAUUGGUGGCAUAAUAGAGUAGUUGCAGUUCAUUUCUCUAUAUAUCUAUCUCUCUCUAUCUGUGCAAGCUUAGACCUAGUCGGAAAACUGGCAGCGUCGCGGCCAAACCCACUGGGAACUUGUCACGUCCGGGUACCAACGGAAGCAUAUCCGGUCGCAUGCACAGACCCGCCGUGUACCUCACAACUCAAGUAUACACAAGGCGUCUACAACUAUAUAGUAAAAGCAUAUAAUUCUAACCAGGUAAUCAGAGCACGACUUUUAAGUUAAAACUUAUACAACCCAAAACCUUAAUACAGUAAAUAAGAACAAAGUAUACUUUUACAAAAAUUUUUUAUACAUCUCUGUACUAAACUAUAUAAACUGCAGGAGGUGAUCUAGUACACGUACAAAAAGGCUCUAGCUAGCCGCUGACCCCUCGCCAGGAACCCUAGCCUUUCCCGCUGUGGAAGGCUCUGUAAAAACAACAACAAAGAGGGCGUGAGAACUAUUAAACAAUAGUUCCCAGUGGAUAAGCCGCCGCGUGUGGCGAAGUACACCACUAGGUCAAUUGUGGCAUGAGUAGAUAGUAAUAAGUAAGCAAGUAAAUGCAAUAAGCAAGUGCAAUAAGCCAAUGUAACAGUAAACUACUCAUGCUAUUUGUUUAACAAUCAAUAACUAUCAAUAGACUGCAGGUAUCAAUUAUCACGAUGAAUUCUAUCAAUCAUAUUACUUGACAAUUAACCAAACAUAUACCAGAUUGCAAGCAAGAUAAUUCAUUAUUACCGGAAUUACAGAUAAUAUCAUGUAAUUACUUUCUACAUUAGCAAGAGUGAAACAUUCUUUAUGUCGCUACCAAUCAUGAUGUCAACUUCUAGGUUAUUCAGUACUAAGCUCACUUUAGAUGUCAACUUUCUAGUCUGUUCAUCAAUAAGUUCACUUAACCAAAGACAUAUAGUAACCUUACUACUCUGUCCAGCUAAGGUUAAAGUACUUGACAUAACCCAAUUUCCAACGGACUUACACAAGGUAAGUUCAAGCCGCGCCGUGCCUAAUGGCCCCGUGGUAGUCAACAUCCCCACUCUAGGAAUAAGCCUCCCCCACGGCAUUCCAUUUCGGCGCUCACUUCGUACAUUUGCGAGCAUCUGUCGCUAAGCUGUUCAGGAGUGCUGGCUUGGGGGGAAGCGACCCCGCAAGCAUGUGCAAACGCGCACAAUGGUAUGCAAGCCGUAGUCCACAGUACCGGUCUCACAACAACAUCAUGUCCCUGACAUGGAAUCUCAACUCAAACCACUCCGGAACGCGGGGCUGGAGGGGCGCGACCCCUCGCAAGCAUGUACGAAAGAGCAUAAUGGCAUGCUAGCUAUAGUCCAGGGUACACAUAUCUCAACAGCAUCAUGUCUCUGACAUGGAAUCUCAACUCGACCCAAGGUCGGCACUGUAGUACCCAAUCAUAAGUCACUAUCAACAACUUGUUGACAAGAUUCUACCAGUCAUAAUAUAACUUGACAAGUUAAAAACUUUACAUCAACAUAGUGAUUCUAUCAGGCUAUACCUGGCAAUCACUCACAAUCCUCACUACUCUUAUAUAUAAGGAAAGUGGGUUUACUAAGGUUCUGUUCAUAGACUCAUGGCACAUAACUGAAUUCAAUAUAAACUUCUAUUACUUGAACCAAACAAAUAUGAAACAAUCACCUUACUUGACUAUACAAUAGUCAUCAUAUUUAAUAUCUAGUUUUCUACUAGAUUAUAUUCAGUUGUAUAUUAUUCAAUUAUGCCAUUAUAUAAAACUUCUAGUUACUUAUUAGAAUAUAUAUAUUCACAUAUGAAUCUAUCAGUGAAUGCAUAAACUAACAGAAAUAAUACAAGCAAGGAAUAUAAACGAUAAAAUACCUUUCACAUGAUCCAUGCCAUUCAUUCUACAAUUAGGAAUGCAUAUGCAAACACAGCUUAUCCUGAUCUUUCAGAGUUUAGCCAUACUUGUUAUCUGACAUUGCAUAGCUCAACCUAAGUACAUCAGUCUCUUUGGUUGUUCAAUAGAACUAAUUGAUCCAGUCACGAAUUUACAAUCUACUAUCCUCGUGAUAACAUCAAGCCAAUUGCAUAUGCAACUACUAGUAUAGAAUCCCAGUACUUACAGGUAACCAUGUAGAAUGGACAAGUCAUGUAAUCUUUCCUUACUAUUUAAAGAUGCUAUCAUUUUCGAUAUGAUUUACAUUAUCAGUACAUGUCUCAAUGCCUUUAAACUAUACAUAUAUUCACAUGAAAAUGAAAUAACUUCAACUCAGAUGUCAAAGAAGACAUAGAGAAAAUUCACCCAUUUCGGGAAGGUCGCGACCCACCUAUCACCAAGCUCAAUCCCCAAAAGAAGUUACGAACUUUGCUCAACGGAGCCGCAACUCUGUUGAAAACGAAACACAAAGCGCAUCAAACUACGACGAAAUGUCCAAUUCGACACAUUGUACUUAGUACAAAGCAAUAGUUAAAUUCAUAUUUUUAGCUCAGUUAAUACCUCAAGUAAGCUUCUAAAAGCCUUCACGCAAUCAGCCGGAAAUAUUCGAAAGUCAUCGCAAGCCCCGCUGGAACAAUUUCCAAAACGGCAUCAUAGUCCUCAAUUAUUAAUAUAUAUAUAGUCGGAAUCUUGCAAAUCAGUUUCCUCACAGCAAUAUCAGCUUACCCUUAGUUGGAACACCUUUCAAACUAGUCUCCCUGUGUCACUAAAUUAGCCCAAGUGGUUCAAGAACCUGCUGGCGAAGAACAAUGCAAACUGCAUCAAUUCGCUCUAAUAAACUUCAUACAGUUUCGAAAUUACAUCAUAAAUAACAAAUUACCUUUUGUCCAUACUUGGAGCAGCUUAUCCCUGGUCUAAGGGGUCAAUUCACAGCUAAAAAAACUCACCUCUAGCUGCUGGAAUCCCUGUUACACGCAGAUGAAGCAACGAAACCAAAACCGUCAAAAUCCGACGCUACACUACGGAAUUAGAGAGAAAUCACAUUAAAUAUCCCUCUAAAACUUCUUUCAGUGAUUCUCAGCACUAAACAUGAAUCAUAACUAUCAAACACUCCCAUUUUACCUUUUAAAAGCUGGCCUCAAGUCCCUAAAACACGAGCGUCGAGCGGACGCGAAACCGGCGCAAAACGGCGACUCCUUUGUAAGGGAGAAAAUCUAGAGAAGAGAGAGAGAAAGGUGUAGGGCAGCUCCUCUGAGCUCUAGCACACUCCAGCAAGCACCCCUGGUCGUGCUGGACUGAAAUAGAUAAGAACAAGAGGUGAAAUGACCAAAAGACCCUUGCUGCCGUACGUUUCUACCAGUCUGUACCGGUACAGGUGAUGGCUGUACCGGUACAAGCAAGCAGCAAAAUGCUGAUUUCAUCCGUUCAAUGCACUUUCAUGCUUUUAACUUUCCAAUGCACCCUCUAAUUUAUUCAAAAACUUUUCCAAGUCAUUUAGAACAUGUAAUAAUAGUCCACACAUCCUUCCUCACACUCGAACCUAUCGAUUCGCAUCGCAAACGUUCAUGUAUUACAGAAACUAUAUUUAUUAUAGUUCUCACCCCAUGCGGUUUUUGGGUACAGUACACACAGGGCGAGCCGACGAGGAUCGCGGCAAGGGCAUAGCGCCCUAAGUGAGCUUAGUUAGUAGCUUUUCCUUAUGCAUUAGAGUACCCUCUGGUACUAGAAGAUGUUUGGAUUGUUAGCGAAAGAUUAUUUUUUGUUUCUGAGAAAAACAUGUAUUUACAUUUUGGAAAUGAAAAUGUAUGUAAUCAACUUAUGUAAAUGUUUAAUGGUUGUAAUAGCUAGAUAUUUCUCUCUUUAUACACUUGUACAUCACUGUGGUUCUUGCUCUUAGUAUAUGCACUUGUGUGCAUAAGUAUUUGAUCAUGUAUGUUAUUAAGCAAUUCCUGGGCGACUUAAUUGUACUUGAUCAGGUUGACUGGCCUUGGGCGACAGGGGAGGCCUGUCAUUCGGCGUCCUCCGCCGCCUGAAUCGACCAAAUUGGUAGCGGCCUUGGGCGGGGGCUGUACAAGUUGUUGGUAUCAGAGCAGAUUAAGAGCAAGUAAAGAGAGGUCUAGGAUGGCACUAGAAGACCUAGGUUUGGCGACCUCUAUGGUGAUAAGUAGGUAAAGAAACGUGAACUAUAUCGGGUUGAGGAAGAAAUCGAUUAGGUCGGAUCGAGUAUAGAUCUCUAGUGUGGCUAGAGAUAGAUCGACCGGUGUUAGUUCCGAGCUCGGAGGAAUUGUGUUUGGCGAGCGACAACACGACGCUAAAGUUAGGACAAUACACUAGUGUACAUCGCUUAUGGCGAGUCGGUCGUAAUACAGUAUAUGCGAGAAGUUAAAAGGUUAGUGACUAACCUGAUUGUUGCUUUGGCAGGAACAAUGUCCCAAAGACGCUACAUACGUAGGUCCGUUCCGACACCAUCUCCUGAGGUGCCCGAGAAGCCGAUCCUAGUGUACAUCCGCUUAUGGCGGAGUCGAGUCGCGUAUACAGUAUAUGCGACGAAGUUAAGAGGUUAGGUGACUAACCUGAUUGUUGCGUUGCAGAACAAUGUCCCCAAGACGCUACAUACGUAGGUCCUUCGACACCAUAUCUCCUGAGGGCCGAGGAACCGGAUCUAGUGAAGUACAGGAGUUACGGGCGCAGUGUCGGCAUUGACCGCAUUGUACACACACAAGAGUCGGUUCGAGCAGCUCCAAGGGCUUAUGGAGCAUCAUUUGGCGGCGGCAACUGCAGCUGCGACUGAGGGCCGUGACGCCCCCCCGGCCUCCAGCUCGUUGCGCCAACGGUGCUAGGGCGAGGCAUUCCGGCAUAUCCGUUUGCGAACUCCUUCGCCGGCGAGUGUUCCUCCAGCGGUGUCGAGUCUACGACACCCGUGCGACGCAUUAGAGGCGGAUAGGAGCCGGCGCUGUGGCUCUCUCGAGAAUUCCGGAAGUUUAAUCCACCGAUCUUCAAGGAAGAAGGUCGAGCCUGUGAUGGUUGAGUCGUGGGUGGACUCGAUGGAGACCUUGUUUGAGGACUCUACACGUUAGAGAGGGCCAAGGUCUCCUCGCCUCCUGCUUUGAAGGACUGAGGUUUGGUGGAGCGAUCAAAGAGAAACAGCUCAACCUUCUGUCGUUGACCUAUGGUGAGGAGUUCUGAGGAUUGUUUUAUGUCAACUACUUCCCCGAUAGCGAGAAGAAGAAGCUCCAGGAGCAGUUUCGAAAGUUGAAGCAAGGGAACCGCACGGUAGCGGAAUAUGAGCGGGAGUUCUCUCACAUUAUCGACUGCGUCCCUGACGUAGUGCGAGACGAUAGAGAUCGAGUCGAUUGGUUCGAGCGAGGGCUCCGGGCUGAUAUCUAUCGGGCGGUGCACAUUUUGAAGCUCACUACCUUCGCGGAGGUGCUCGACAGAGCGUUGUGGGCGGAGCAAGGGAACGCUCACAUCCAGGAGGAGCGAGAGGCGUCCGAGAAGGACGGUGAUAAGAAGCGGGCUCAGAGUAGUUCGGGAGCUCAAACCAAGUCAAGGAAGCCCCCGAAGUACCGGCGAACGCAAUCCAAUGGCCGCGGAUCGUAGCGGUGCACAAUCUGUGGUGGGAACCACGAGCCAAGGACGUGUGAUCAGCGGGAGGGGAAGUGCUUCACGUGUGGACAGGCGGGGCAUAUCAGCCGCUAUUGUCUAGUGAGGGCUUCGCCUGCCCCUUCGGUCGCAUCGGCUCCGGCGACUCCGGCGCAUUAUGGAGGAGCCCCACCUGCUGCGUCAUCGGCUGGACGUGAGAUGGUACCACGCCAACCUGAGGCGACGAGAUCAGCUCCGAGCGGGCGGGUGUUCGCCGCCCAAACUGAAGCCGAGGAACCUGCUGAAGCGGAGACUGCCAUGUACUCGCAGGUAUGGUUUUAAUUGACGAAGUUUGCUCCAGGGCUAUGUUUGAUACAGGUGCUAUGCAUUCAUUCAUCAGUAGGUCAUUUGCACGCAUGUAUGACAUAGAACUACAAGAGAGUAAAAGCACUUGGAGGGUAUCGGGCCCCGGACAUGAUUUUCUAGUCCAUAUGGAGUGUUCGUCUUGUCCGGUGUGGUUGGGCGAUUGGAUAAUGCCCAUCCGUAUGUUGGUGUUCAAGAAGUUGAAAGACUUCGACGUCAUUCUAGGAAUGGAUUGGCUCUCGAAGUACUAUGCGACUAUUCACCGCAGAAGUAAAGUGAUUACGUUUCGCGAGGUGGGCCAGGAAGAGUUCGUCUACCGGGCUUGUAGAAACUCGUACUUUGCCGCCACGGUAUCGGCAACGAGAGCAAGGAAGCUAGUUAACAGCGGUUGUACGGCUUAUUUGGCGACCGUUGUAGAAGUCGAGAGGAUGACUCCUACGCUUGAGGAGCUGUCUAUGGUUCGGGAAUUUUCAGAUGUAUUUUCCGCGGAGUUACUGGGAAUGUCGCCAGACCGGAAGAUUGAGUUCGUGAUAGACUUGGUUCUAGGAACCGCGCCUAUCUCGAAGGCUCCGUAUCGGAUGGCGCCGGCAGAAUUGAAGGAAUUGCGGGCUCAAUUGAUAGAUCUCCUUGAUAAGGAAUUUAUACGGCCGAGUGUAUCGCCAUGGGGAGCCCCGGUUCUAUUCGUGCAAAAAAAGGAUGGAUCGUUUCGACUCUGCGUAGACUAUCGCGAGUUGAAUAAGGUCACGAUCAAGAAUAAGUACCCGUUGCCCAGGAUCGAUGAUUUAUUUGAUCAGUUGCAAGGAUCUCGUGUUUAUUCAAAUAUUGAUCUACAAUCUGGUUAUCAUCAACUCAAGAUUAAGUCGGAAAGUAUGCAAAAGACCGCGUUUCGCACGCGGUAUGGACACUAUGAAUUCACGGUCAUGCCGUUUGGGCUCACUAAUGCCCUAGCAGCGUUCAUGUAUUUAAUGAACCAUGUCUUCAAGGAGUACUUGGACCGAUUUGUCGUGGUCUUUAUAGACGACAUCUUGGUCUACUCUCGUAGCGACGAGGAACAUGCCGAGCAUCUGAGAAUAGUGCUUCAAGUCCUUUGGGAGGAGAAGCUAUAUGCUAAGUUUAAGAAAUGCGACUUUUGGCUCCGAGAGGUUGCAUUUCUUCGGCAUGUCAUUUCCGAGGGUGGAGUAUCUGUUGAUCCGAGAAAAGUGGAGGCGAUCAAGGAUUGGCCUCGCCCGACUAACGUCACAGAAGUUUGAAGCUUCGUGGGUUUAGCGGGCUAUUACAGACGGUUUGUGGAGGGAUUCUCGAAGAUCGUGAUUUCACUUACCCGUCUGACUCACAAAGGCACCAAGUUCGUGUGGAGCGGUGAGUGUGACCGGAGUUUCCAAGAGUUGAAGAAUAGAUUAACUUCGACUUCGGUACUCGCCUUACCGGUGCAAGAUGAAGACUUCAUGGUGUAUAGCGACGUGUCACAAUCGGGUUUGGGGUGUGUUCUGAUGCAGGGCGGGAAGGUGAUCGCUUAUGCGUCCUGUCAGCUGAAGAGCUAUGAGAAGAACUAUCCUGUUCACAACUUUGAGUUGGCCGCAGUGGUGUUUGCUCUCAAGUUAUGGAGGCACUACUUGUAUGGCGCGCGUUGCGAGAUAUACACGGACCACAAAAGUUUGAAAUACCUUUUCACACAAAAAGAGCUCAAUAUGCGACAGCGGCGGUGGCUGGAAUUGCUAAAGGAUUUUGAUGCGACAAUCCUAUACCACCCCGGAAAAGCAAACGUGGUGGCCGACGCACUUAGCAGGAAGUCAGUGGAGAAUCUCGCUAUGUUGGUCACACGUCAGGAGCCACUGUGGAAAGAGAUGGAGCGAUUGGAUCUCGAGGUGGUAGCUCCGGAAAUCCCGUCUAUGCUUACGGCUCUUGUUGUCCAACCGAACUUAUUGAAGCAGAUUAAGAGUUUGCAAUCUGCAGACCCCAAUCUCCGAAAGGUGCGGCGAGACAUCGAGAGUGGACACGGCGGUGAUUUUAGUGUAGACGCUGAGGGUGCGCUUCGGUUUCGAAACCGAUGGUGCAUGCCAGAGAAUGAGGAUGUCCGAAAGUUAAUAUUGCAAGAGACACAUCGCACUCCUUAUAGCAUUCACCCGGGCGGCACCAAGAUGUACCGUGAUCUGAAGAUGCAGUACUGGUGGCCGGGCAUGAAAGCGGAUAUUGGGCGAUAUGUAGCGCAGUGCUUAGUAUGCCAGCAAGUGAAGGCUGAGCGCCGAUUUCCAGCGGGAAAGCUCCAAAGCCUACCUAUCCUCGUUUGGAAAUGGGAGAAUAUUGCUAUGGACUUCGUGGUAGGAUUGCCCCGUUCGACGGAUGGCCACGACGCGAUCUGUGUGAUUGUGGAUCGUAUGACCAAGUCGGCACACUUUCUACCGAUUCACACCACCUGGUCGGGCGACAAGUUGGUGCAGGUAUAUUUGGAUGAAGUUGUGAGGUUGCACGGGGUUCCGAAGUCGAUCGUGUCAGAUCGAGACCCCCGUUUUUUGGAAAAACCUACAAGAAGCACUUGGCACACGGCUCGAUUUCAGCACCGCAUUUCAUCCUCAGACAGAUGGACAGUCAGAGAGGACUAUACAGAUUCUGGAGGAUAUGUUGCGGGCGUGUGUCAUUGACUAUAAGGGUAGUUGGGCAAACCAUUUGAGGACGGCCGAGUUCGCCUACAAUAACAGUUAUCAAGUUAGCAUUGGGAUGGCACUGUUCGAGGUCCUAUAUGGACGGAAGUGCCGAUCCCCUAUGUGUUGGAGCGAUGUAGGUGAGCAUGCGGUAUUGGGCCCAGACAUAUUGCGAGAGGCGAAAGAGAAGGUCCGUCUCGCUCGCGAGAGGCUACUUACGGCACGGUCGAACCAAAAGAGCUAUUCUGACAAACACCGUAGAGACUUAGAAUUCACGGUAGGCGACUGCGUUUUCUUGAAAGUUUCACCUAUGAGAGGUGUGAAACGCUUCGGAGUUCGGGAAAAGUUGAGUUCCCGAUAUAUCGGGCCAUUCGAAGUGUUGGAACGUGUUGGAGCGGUAGCGUACCGACUUGCAUUACCGCCGAAGCUCGCGGGGGUGCAUGAUGUAUUCCACGUUUCUAACCUUCGCAAGUAUGUUCCUGAUCCCAAGCAUGUUAUGUAUUACGAGCCGCCAGAUCUACAAGAAGAUCUAAGCUAUGAAGAGUUUCCGACAAUGAUUAUUGCUCGAGAAGUACGAAAAUUGAGAAACCGUGAGAUUCCCUACGUGAAGAUUCGUUGGACCAAUCACAUCGAUCGUGAAGCCACGUGGGAAUUCGAGGAAACGAUGAAAGUGCAUUAUCCUCAUCUCUUUACAGAAAUGCAAUGAGGUAUGAGUUAUUGAAUUCGUUUCGAGGACGAAACUCCUUUUUAGGAGGGGAGGAUGUAAGAAAGUGAAUUCUCGAAAUACGAGAGUUAGACUUCAUGCGAAAUCGACCAAGGGUCGUAUUGGUGAGCUUUGGAAAAGCCAAAGAUGUCAAAAUCACUAAAAGUGCAUUAGAAACGAGUCCACGAGAGUGAAUAGUGCAAAACCUGCACUGGAGCAAAGUUGCUCUCUGGGACCGGUCCCUGGCAGGGAGGGACCGGUCCCAUCGGCUGGUGGUUGCGGGGAUCCUUGAGGCAACCGGUCUCUGGUAGGGAGAGACCGGUCCCCGAACGUGAUCCCAGCGAGAAAAGCCAAAAUUUGGCUAAGUCCCGAAAUCCCAGCUCUUGGGAACCAGUCUCUCAGGAAGGAACCGAUCUCCCGG
rnacentral:lncRNA from 1 species